rfam:Oryza glaberrima chromosome 3 Oglab03_0074_19, whole genome shotgun sequence.
AAUGUAUGACGCCGUUGACUUUUUUUGACUAACGUUUGACCAUUCGUUUUAUUUAAAAGAUUUAUGUAAUUAUUAUUAUUUCAUUGUGACUUGAUUUAUCAUCAAAUGUUUUAUAAGUAUGACAUAAUUUUUUUUAUACUUGCACAAAAGAAUUGAAUAAGACGAAUGAUCAAACGUUGGUCAAAAAGUCAACGGCAUCGUAUGUU